CUGUUGUUCUCUGGGCUGCAGGAAGCAGCAAUGCUGUGUAAGGCUUGAACCAGGAAUAUAAGCUACAUAAAGAAACUUUGAGGACUUCUCCAAAGAAUACUCCAAUCUACCGAAUUCCACACAAAUCACUGCAUCCAGCCAAGCUUCUGUAACCAUCCCACCAUUCAGAAACCUCACCAUCUUCAAAAAUCCCUAAGUGCAUUAUAGAGUGAUGCAGCUUCUGCCUGGACAGAGGAUAGAGAACUCCAGAAACUCCUUAUCAGGGGCAGCUAGGAUCCUAGCAGCUCCUCCUGUCUCACACAUUUAGUAUCUCCAUGGUGGUAUUGUACCAUCAUCUCUCCAGGCUGAGCACUAGAUGAAAAUGCGUUUGUGGAGGCAAUGAGGAGGGACAAGCAGCAAGAGUGCUAUAGCACCUACAUCUUUGGGGCACGAGUCAAGUCUGUCUUGGUAUUGAUUGAGUGAAUGAGGAGAGAGAUCUGUUUCUUAAUGGCCGUCUGUCAUUUAACAAUCUUCUUGGAAAUUCUGACAAAUGAUUCUGGUGCUAACUGUUGAAAUUCCUACAUCAAUUCAGUAGAAAAUGGGCACUUACUAAAUAAAUGUCAAAUCACUCUCCUAUCUGCAUAUGUGCCAGUCUUCUAAAGACAAAGAGCAUUGGUAAUUGACAGGAAAGCAAGACAUUAAAAUUCAAAAAGAAGCAAAACCCCCCUUUCCCUUGGCCCUUUGAUUCUGUCCCAGUACAGCUGAAGUGUGACAAUGCCGAACUUUCAUUUAAAAACAACAGCCACAAAAUAUCCUUUUUCAAAAUUUCAUACAUUCUGCUUCUGUGUGUUGUGGAGUUGUACCGACUUUGUGGAGUCAUUGCAGCUGCUUGUAAAUGAUGUAUGAAAAGAAAAAUUCCUGUCCUUCCAGUGCACUGAGAAAAUUCUGUAAUCCCUGCUAUGCUGCUUGCUUAUAUUAAAUUCAAACACAGCCAGGAAAGAGCUUGAAUGCAAAGAUUAUUAGCUUUCCCCCACCCAACUACAUCUUUUGCUUCUUAGAGGAGAUUUAUUUGUCUCUCCAGGCGUCCCCUUAUCUCCCUCCACCCUAGCUGUAGGAUUUGGACAAGAAAUAUACCGUAUUUAUUUGUU